CGGGGUGGUCUACCUUGGUCGUCAUCGAUCUGACUUUCUACCCGAGAGUUUUUGACAUGUAAAAAACAUUCGAGUAAGGAUCGAGAAGCCAGUCACUCGAGAAGAGAUCGAUAAUUCGUCGAGUAGCGGUCGAAUUGAUCGGAAAAGGAUCGUGUAGAGAUCGAGUUUAGUCGGAAUACAAAUAGUUUACCGAUCAGUACUCGAUCAUUUCGAUCUUUGCUCGACUAAUAUCCGA
rnacentral:lncRNA from 1 species